rnacentral:misc_RNA from 1 species
AAACCGGUGUUCUUACUGCGCAAGUUCAUGUAACUUUAAAACAAUCCAAUCCAAUCCGCUCAAGUUUAAAAAUGGCCGCGGCGUCUCCGUGUCCCGUUGUCGCCGAUUCGGAUGACGAAAUGUCGAAGAGAUUUCCACUGCUCUUUCCGAUGAAUGAGUCCUGCACAGAGUACAAAGGCUUCCUGGAGGUUUUGGACGAGCACUUCUACGUUCACCUGAGUGCCGCUGAUCCGGCCGAGCCGAAUACUUACUCCCUGAAUGGAGACUGGAGUCUUCACGAGCUGGUAACGGCUUCUGGCAAGGCCUUCGAACAGAUUCUUGGGAAGUGCAAGUCGCUCAGUCAUUUUCUGAUGGAAUUCUGCAACAUGAUGGAAUUAACUCUCAAGGCCCAAGGGGAGCCAGAGAAGUUUCAGCGGGCCCCCGAAAUCCUCACCAGAAUCUUGAGCGACUUGGAGCACUGUGGCUGGCACAACUUGGGACAUUUGAGUGUGGCUGGGGAUGAGAUCCAGCUCAACUACAUUGAUAGUAGAAAGCAGAAGCACUGGCUCAAGGUCCACCUGAGCCCAGAGUUUCCCGCGGAAGCUCCCAGUUAUGACACGGACCUGCCGGUGGUUUUCGAAUUCCAGUGGCACAAGGGCCAAACGCUGGCGGCUGUCUUUGAGGCCUUCGCACGCCAGGCAGACCGGCUGGUGCCUUUCUGGGAGGCCGCAGCUGACCUCGACGCACGCUGCUGGGUCCUCGAUCCCCCGUGUCCUAGGGCGGGAGAUGCGUACCGCCGGAUCGCGCUAGGCAAGAACGUAUCGAUGAUGGUGGUCAUCGAUCCGCACACACCGAUGACCUUACCUCGCCUGGAGUUUACAGGGCCAGAGGCGGAGGUCAGCCUCCAUGAGAAGGCUGUCCAGGACAAUGUGGACAAAUGGGACCCCAGUGCGUCCAUCUCGGCCAACCUGUCGGCUUUGCUGGGAUUUGAGGUGCCUUCCAGGGAAAAUGCGACGUCUGAGUUCCGGACGAGCUGUGCCAGAACUUCCGCUGUUCGCGGCCUUUCCACCAGAGCUGCCUCUCCGAGUGGAUGAGGUCUCUGCCCAUGGUCAGACAGAACUUCAACAUGUUCUUCGGGGAGUGUCCCUACUGUUCGGAGCCGAUGUCGUGCAGGAUGUAGGAGCAAAGACGUCGCAAGGCAUUAUUGUCCAAGGGAGAAGAUGGCCGCAUACUGACGUUUAUAUGAGUCGAGAUAACUAAGUUAUAGUAGUGUAGAAGCUGAGGGCUUUGCAGUGCUUCAUAAUUUGGAAAAAGAUUCUUGCUUAAGUCUUGAAAUUGAUUCUUUCACUCUAGAUAACAGUCGAAUUAUGUACUUUUGCAAUCCCAAUUGUAUAAACAGUCAACAUCUGCACAACUGCACUGUUGAGAAGUAAGAGUGCUCUGUACUUCUGCUUUAAGUAUUUUGUAAAAUUUUACUAUUAGGUAUAUAAUUGUACUUAACUUACACAGUACUAUUGUCUAGGACUUUAUGGGGAAAAUAUAAUAGAGGGCUCCUAAGUAAGCGUCCAAUGAUUUUUCACGCCAACUUGUGGACGAAGCAAUGCUUAGUCAGUCGUCGCACGAUACUGGGAACGAACAUGAAUGUUGCUUCUGGCAUUUGUAUGUUACCUUGAGUGAUCAUUUCAUCUUCAAUGCAUUGUAGGAAAGAAAUUGUGUGGUCUUUUGAUAUAUUUACCUGCUUUUGAAAUAAAAACACAUUGACAAAGCAACA